UACGUAGGGGGCAAGCGUUGUUCGGAAUUACUGGGCGUAAAGGGCGCGUAGGCGGCACAGCAAGUCGGGAGUGAAAGCCCGGGGCUCAACCCCGGAAUGGCUUUCGAAACUACUGAGCUAGAGUACAGAAGGGGCAACCGGAAUUCCCAGUGUAGCGGUGAAAUGCGUAGAUAUUGGGAAGAACACCUGAGGCGAAGGCGGGUUGCUGGGCUGAUACUGACGCUGAGGCGCGAAAGCCAGGGGAGCGAACGGG
rnacentral:rRNA from 1 species